UGGGGAAUAUUGCACAAUGGGCGAAAGCCUGAUGCAGCAACGCCGCGUGAGUGAUGAAGGUCUUCGGAUUGUAAAGCUCUGUCUUUUGGGACGAUAAUGACGGUACCAAAGGAGGAAGCCACGGCUAACUACGUGCCAGCAGCCGCGGUAAUACGUAGGUGGCGAGCGUUGUCCGGAUUUACUGGGCGUAAAGGGUGCGUAGGCGGAUGUUUAAGUGAGAUGUGAAAUACCCGGGCUUAACUUGGGUGCUGCAUUUCAAACUGGAUAUCUAGAGUGCAGGAGAGGAGAAUGGAAUUCCUAGUGUAGCGGUGAAAUGCGUAGAGAUUAGGAAGAACACCAGUGGCGAAGGCGAUUCUCUGGACUGUAACUGACGCUGAGGCACGAAAGCGUGGGUAGCAAACAGGAUUAGAUACCCUGGUAGUCCACGCCGUAAACGAUGAGUACUAGGUGUAGGAGGUAUCGACCCCUUCUGUGCCGCAGUAAACACAUUAAGUACUCCGCCUGGGAAGU
rnacentral:rRNA from 1 species